UGGCGAUAAGCAAACAAGGUGUAUGCACCGGACUGUUAAUCCGGAUGGAGCGGGGUUCGAUGCCCUGAUCGCCAGCCA
rnacentral:tRNA from 1 species